CUGAGAUCUAGCCCCGUAGCCAGUUAUUGCAUACAUGCAGCGUGCAUUUCCGUCUACGCCUAGCGCCUUUACACGUAGAUUUACACGUACAGCCUCUGGAGUAUUGUCACGUCUCUUACUCUAGGUCAUACUUCUUGCAGACUUGAUCCCAGCAGAUAGUUUUGCACUGGAUGACUGUGUUUCUGGCGCUGGGUUGCAGAGUGCUAGCUUGGCAGUACACAGCUACAGGCGACGUGUGCGAGUCACUGCGAGGGAAAGAGCCCAGCCCGCGCGUCUGUCGAGCAAGUCUGCGGCCCAGUGCGGGGCGAAGUGGGAGGACGAGUGAAAGGAUUUGUCACUUCCAGUCUCACUCCAGUGACAGUGCGCUGUGCUCAUCUUGACUUGAGGCAAAGCAGACACCAGCAAGAAGAGAAAGAGAAGAGAGGAGAGCGUUCUCCAUCCUGCAUCACCUCGCAUUAUUGGUCACACUGGGCAGGCCGAAUCAUCACAGUGGCAUAUGCUGACACGGAUUCGCUAUUAGAUUUCUGCUUGUAGCAAUUAUAGAAAGCCGCGGAGUCUGAGCAUAACGAAUACUGAUUGGAAUUUGUUCGCAAUCGGCACUAUCAAGAAGCCCAGUUGACUGGUUGGUGUGGAUCGACAUUGGAAUAGAGCAUUGGAGCUCCGGUGCUGAAAAACACUAGCUAAUCCAGCUUGCGACAUCAGUCUUGGCACGGACCGUCCUAUCUUAAACAGUACCGGGCAGUUGCGGCGAGAAUGUCGGCAGCGGUGUUUUCAGCAGUCCUGCUUGCACUGCUCCUGGUGUGUGCUGAUGCACAACCCUUUGGGGGGACCUGGAGUGCUACGGAUUAUGGGCCUUGCAAUGCAUGUGGUGCCGAGACUCAGAUUCGUAUCGUUCUUUGCAGCAUGACAGGGUCAGUGGUUCCGAACAGCAACUGUGACCCUGCCACCAAACCCAGCCACCAACGACUAUGCCCACCUGUGGACUGCAGCCCGGUUGUGGACCAGGACCUAUUCGGCUUCUGCAGGCAGUGCCAGCAGACGAGCACGCAGCAGUGCAUUCAACGCCUAGGCAAUAACUCCCUCGUGACCGUACCGUUGUCCCUCUGCAACCUGACGUCCGCGACUAUCACUCGCAUAUGCCCCUCGCAAUGCCAGCCCCAGUGGGUAGCAUACGCGUACAACUGUUGUGAUGCAAAUGCCGCGCUCGGCAUGCGUUGCCACGACAACUUCUCCGAUAGCUAUGUGACGACGGAAGCGUGUCGCUUCUAUCAAGUGUCAUUGAACCUUGUGGUACCAAAGCCAGCCGCAUGUAUACCAUGUGUCCUUGCAGAUGGCGCCACGAGACACAUAGGGUCUGCAAGUCCAACUCCUGUUCCAAUCAGCAGCAAAGAGGAUAAUGAGGUUGGCACACGCCAUGCGACGGAUAGCAACACUGGCACGUUAAGCUCACACCCGGGGAUGAGCACGCGCCUACCCGCCUCGCGGCCUGAUACGAACAUGACGGAAGGCCCCGAACCCGACCCUGGGAGCGGCGUUGAGGCGGAACUGGGGAAGCAGUCUGCUGCGUCGACAUCACGACAGUCUUUCUGGUUACUCUGCCUUGCGUUGUGUUUCCUGUUAUGGACCGCCGGCUUAUAGCCAAGAGGACAUGCACACUGGUUCUAGUGCAGUGAUCUACACUUGGCUUGUCCCACUUGCAGCCUAUUUGAGCAUCACUAAGUACAUCCCUUGUACAUGUACUUUGUGAUGUGAUCUCAUGUGCCUUGAGUCACCUAUUUUCUUUGUUGUCGCGUGCUUGUACUGCGCAACCAGGAGAGCUUUUGAUGUCCACGCCGGCAUACUUGUAUGAGUUGAUUUGAUGCCACUAGUGGCGUCUACUGCCUGCAGCAUUUCUACGACCUUUGCUUGAGCCGUUUCAAAGCAGGUCAUGCACACAUGCCACAGUAUCAGGUUUUGCCAAAGUAUGGUCCAUUAUGAUAAUUUAAGAAACACCUCUCGUCCUGUCUUUAUUUUCGGUGAAUCCCCUCCCCCCCCCCCCCCCCCCCCCCCCAGCUCUCUCUAUAUAGCCUAGUGCCGCUGUAUUCCACUUGGAGCAGUAGGUCGUUCAUCAUCGAGUAUUUUCAGAGUAUGCAACAAUGUGUUGCAGAUACUGGCUGCGGAGCGCUUGUUGCACUCAGUAGGAGCUCAUGGGUUUUGUUCUCCAUCGUGGAUUGCUACCAAUACCAGCGUACAAUUCAUGAAGUAUGGCCUUUAUUUGAGGAGCAUUUGGUCUGAUUGCUGAUGCACUCAGCAGCAGCUUGUAUUGACUUAUCUGCUCGCGCAGCGUAUCCUUGCAAAAAUAAGCUAGUUGUGGUGUUAUAAUUGUUGAGUUGAAAACAAAUUAACUUGUCACAUGCCAAGCUCGCCGUUGUCCGCAGUUUAUUGAUUUUCUUGCCUAUCUUACCGAUCUGAUCACUAUCGCCCAUGACCGUGUUACGGCUGCAUUGGCUUCUUGAUUAUUGUAUCACGUUGAGCUAGUUUCUAUAUUGCGUUUUAGUUAUUAUCAGAACUUGUGGGUCCCCAGCAUUUGAAACAUUGUCCAGAACUAUUUAAAAAUC